AUUGAACGCUGGCGGCAUGCCUUACACAUGCAAGUCGAACGGUAACAGAUCUUCGGAUGCUGACGAGUGGCGAACGGGUGAGUAAUACAUCGGAACGUGCCCAGUCGUGGGGGAUAACGUAGCGAAAGUUACGCUAAUACCGCAUACGAUCUAUGGAUGAAAGCGGGGGAUCGCAAGACCUCGCGCGAUUGGAGCGGCCGAUGUCAGAUUAGGUAGUUGGUGGGGUAAAGGCCUACCAAGCCGACGAUCUGUAGCUGGUCUGAGAGGACGACCAGCCACACUGGGACUGAGACACGGCCCAGACUCCUACGGGAGGCAGCAGUGGGGAAUUUUGGACAAUGGGCGCAAGCCUGAUCCAGCCAUUCCGCGUGCAGGAUGAAGGCCUUCGGGUUGUAAACUGCUUUUGUACGGAACGAAAGGCUCUGGUUAAUACCGGGGCUCAUGACGGUACCGUAAGAAUAAGCACCGGCUAACUACGUGCCAGCAGCCGCGGUAA
rnacentral:rRNA from 1 species